rnacentral:rRNA from 1 species
GGCGAUCAGAUACCGCCCUAGUUCUGACCGUAAACGAUGCCAACUAGCGAUCCGCCAGUCGACUCAUCGCUCUGGUGGGGAGCUUCCCGGAAACGAAAGUUUUCCGGUUCCGGGGGAAGUAUGGUUGCAAAGCUGAAACUUAAAGGAAUUGACGGAAGGGCACCACCAGGAGUGGAGCCUGCGGCUUAAUUUGACUCAACACGGGGAAACUCACCCGGCCCGGACACCGUAAGGAUUGACAGAUUGAUAGCUUUUUCAUGAUUCGGUGGAUGGUGGUGCAUGGCCGUUCUUAGUUCGUGGAGCGAUUUGUCUGGUUUAUUCCGAUAACGAGCGAGACUCUGGCCUACUAAAUAGUUGACGCAUUGCCACUGUGCGCACAACUUCUUAGAGGGAUUUUCGGUGUUUUCAACCGCACGAAAUUGGGCAAUAACAGGCCUGUGAUGCCCUUAGAUGUCCGGGGCUGCACGCGCGCUACACUGGCAAACGCAACGUGCCUGUCCUGCCCCGAAAGGAGCGGGUAAACCCCUGAAAUUUUGCCGUGAUUGGGAUCGGACAUUGCAACUAUUGUCCGUGAACGAGGAAUUCCUUGUAGGGGCGAGUCAUCAACUCGUCCCGAAUACGUCCCUGCCCUUGUA